CCUACGGGAGGCAGCAGUGGGGAAUAUUGGACAAUGGGGGCAACCCUGAUCCAGCCAUGCCGCGUGUGUGAAGAAGGCCCUCGGGUUGUAAAGCACUUUCAGUGAGGAAGAACGCCUGGUGGUUAAUACCCAUCAGGAAAGACAUCACUCACAGAAGAAGCACCGGCUAACUCCGUGCCAGCAGCCGCGGUAAUACGGAGGGUGCGAGCGUUAAUCGGAAUUACUGGGCGUAAAGCGCGCGUAGGUGGCUUGAUAAGCCGGUUGUGAAAGCCCCGGGCUCAACCUGGGAACGGCAUCCGGAACUGUCAAGCUAGAGUGCAGGAGAGGAAGGUAGAAUUCCCGGUGUAGCGGUGAAAUGCGUAGAGAUCGGGAGGAAUACCAGUGGCGAAGGCGGCCUUCUGGACUGACACUGACACUGAGGUGCGAAAGCGUGGGUAGCAAACAGGAUUAGAUACCUCAGUAGUC
rnacentral:rRNA from 1 species